ACGCUGGCGGCGUGCCUAACACAUGCAAGUCGAGCGGGGACAUGCGACGGAUAGGAAGAUUUCGGUUGGACUUGAAGAUGCAUUGUUCUAGCGGCGGACGGGUGAGUAACGCGUGAGCAACCUGUCCCUUACAGGGGGAUAACACAGCGAAAGUUGUACUAAUACCGCAUAAGACCACGGGAGGACAUCCUUCAGGGGUCAAAGGAGGAAUCCGGUAAGGGGUGGGCUCGCGUCCGAUUAGAUAGUUGGUGAGGUAACGGCCCACCAAGUCGACGAUCGGUAGCCGACCUGAGAGGGUGAUCGGCCACAUUGGGACUGAGACACGGCCCAAACUCCUACGGGAGGCAGCAGUGGGGAAUAUUGGGCAAUGGGGGGAAACCCCCUGACCCAGCAACGCCGCGUGAGGGAAGAAGGUUUUCGGAUCGUAAACCUCUGUCCUUGGUGAAGAGGAAGAGACGGUAGCCAAGGAGGAAGCCCCGGCUAACUACGUGCCAGCAGCAGC
rnacentral:rRNA from 1 species